rnacentral:lncRNA from 1 species
AUCACAACUAUUAUUCAAUCUAUAAUUUUUUCACUUUAAUCCCUAAAAGAUUUAUUUAUAACUUUUUAAGCAAAACUUAACCACAAGAGUUGGAAGAAUGAGUUCGCGGUCUUUUAUUACUUAAUUCCAUUUCUGAAUGGAUUACUUAUUUUACUUUUUCCACACUUGUAAGUUGAUUUUAGUCUAAAUUCAAUUUUGAUGAAUCUCCGAAAUGGGGCAUUUUGGUGGGAUUGGAGAUUUGCUAUACCCGAACAGAAUUCUGGCAAUUCGAGAUGAUCAUAUAUUAUUUUAAACAAAAUGCUAUUCAAUGUAAAUUACCAAAAAUAAUUUAAGGAAACUUUGUUGCUUGUUAUAUGGAAGUACAUUCGAGAACUUAGGCUUAUUUAAAAAAAAAAAAAUCAUGAACUUAGACGGACCGCGAAGAUGUGAAAAUAAUUCAUUCUAGUAAAUUGAAAGAUUUUGUUAUGAAAUAGUAAACCAAAUUCAUGAAUUUCAACUUUUUGAUGAUAAUGGCUAAGUUUUGAAGCCAAGAAAGAGAGCGAAAAAUUUGCCACUCACCAAUACAUUCUUAACGAAGCAAAAAGUUCAUUUGAAAGUUAACAUUUUAGCUAGUAAACUAAUAUAUCAAACAGUUAAAAAGAAAAUGACCAUUUUAUUGGAUUGGUAAAGUGUAGCUUUCAGUAAGUGGAAACGGUUGGUGAAAACGGUUACCAACUUUUUUUCCCCCCCUCUAUAUAGGACCAUGAUGAUCCAAUUAACCAAAUGCCAUUAAGACAUCACGAUCUUGCGAUUUAAGUAAAGAGAUUUUUGCAAUUCUCUUUUUUAUCACUUGGGAGUCAUUUUUUUUUUUAAAUUGCGUGAUAUUGCAUAAAAAAAUUGAUUUUCCAUAUUUAAUUUUGUUGUACCGUUUAAUUUCACUUUUGAUAUCAAAUUAGUAACACAGAAAUAUUUUCUCAAUUGCAAGUACCAUUUAACAAUCUUAUUAUUCAACAUUCAAUGUUGAAUUGACAGUAUUGUGUAGAAGAAAUAUAACUUGAUCAUGGAAAAAUGGGGCUACUUAUCUCCGUUCCAUAAGUUUGAUUUUUUUUAAAAAAAUAUUCAAAAUCUAUUAGAAUUUAUUUUACACAAAUACUACAUUUUCAAUAAUUUAACAAGUAAAAAGGGGGUUUCAAUAUUUUGAAAUAAAAAUAAACAAGUUUUUUUUUUUUGUCAUAUACAAUAUCAUCACAAAAGAGAUUAAAUAUAUUCAUUUAAUCAAUAAAUUUAAAUUAAAUAUAAUGAUAUGUUAAGCUAAGACAACAAUAUUUAAUGUUAAAUUCAUUGGAAAGUUUCACAAUUAUUAAAUGAAUACUAUUAAGAGCUCAUUUAUGAAUAAUGCAUCUAACAACACAAAACACUUCGAAUUCAAAACUAUUAAAUCAUCAGUCUCAUCCAAAUCAUUCAGUUGAUUAGACUUAGCACAUAGGCAGGAAUCAAUAAAGCUUCCACAAGGGGGGCCAAAAAAAAUAAAAAUAAAUAAAUAACGUUUCAAUAAAGCUUUAUUAAAUUAAUCAAACGGUGAGACGAAGGGAUUGUUUCUCAAAAUUGGAGGGCAUAUGUGACCAUUCAUUCUCUUGGUAGCUUCAACGUUCAAAAAAUUCAAAUCGACGGUAUGGUACCAAACCUAAUAGGUUCGGGAGACGUCGAGAGGCCCACGUGGCGCGUCUUUCUUGGGACCCACUUCACGGGCACUCGGCAGGCUUUCAAUAUUUUAUUCGCCAAGUUCGAGUCUAAAUCACAUAACGGCCUUUUAGAUAAAUUUUAUAACGGGCAAAUCAGAAGCUGCCAUCUCGUCCACAGUGAUCGGACUGAUCGCCACGUGGCAUGUUUUUGUUCAUAUUUUUGAAGCCACCGUCCGCUUAAGACUUUUGCGCGGAAAGAAUCCUUCCACCGGUCAUGCUCAGACCUACACGCACUUUAUAGCGCGUGCAUUACACCGGAAGGCGAAAGCCAAACAUGGAAUGAACUCUGGUGUAUCUGGCACUGUUACAUUGUAUUAGCUAUAUUGUAUCGUAGUGUAUUAUAUUGAGUUAUAAUGUAAUAAUAUAAUGUUUAGUAUACGAUGGACUGUAUUAUAUAUUAUAUUAUUUUGUAGUAAUACCUUAUAUAAUU